rnacentral:rRNA from 1 species
UCCAGACUCCUACGGGAGGCAGCAGUGGGGAAUAUUGCACAAUGGGGGAAACCCUGAUGCAGCAACGCCGCGUGAGUGAAGAAGUCAUUCGUGAUGUAAAGCUCUCUCAGCAGGGAAGAAAAUGACGGUACCUGAGUAAGAAGCCCCGGCUAACUACGUGCCAGCAGCCGCGGUAAUACGUAGGGGGCGAGCGUUAUCCGGAUUUACUGGGUGUAAAGGGAGCGUAGACGGCCAGACAAGUCUGAAGUGAAAGCCCGCGGCCCAACUGCGGGACUGCUUUGGAAACUGCCCGGCUAGAGUGCUGGAGAGGUAAGCGGAAUUCCUAGUGUAGCGGUGAAAUGCGUAGAUAUUAGGAGGAACACCAGUGGCGAAGGCGGCUUACUGGACAGUAACUGACGUUGAGGCUCGAAAGCGUGGGGAGCAAACAGGAUUAGAUACCCGUGUAU